rnacentral:rRNA from 1 species
UGGUCUUAGCUUGCUAAGGCCGAUGGCGACCGGCGCACGGGUGAGUAACACGUAUCCAACCUGCCGUCUACUCUUGGACAGCCUUCUGAAAGGAAGAUUAAUACAAGAUGGCAUCAUGAGUCCGCAUGUUCACAUGAUUAAAGGUAUUCCGGUAGACGAUGGGGAUGCGUUCCAUUAGAUAGUAGGCGGGGUGACGGCCCACCUAGUCUUCGAUGGAUAGGGGUUCUGAGAGGAAGGUCCCCCACAUUGGAACUGAGACACGGUCCAAACUCCUACGGGAGGCAGCAGUGAGGAAUAUUGGUCAAUGGGCGAGAGCCUGAACCAGCCAAGUAGCGUGAAGGAUGGCUGCCCUAUGGGUUGUAAACUUCUUUUAUAAAGGAAUAAAGUCGGGUAUGCAUACCCGUUUGCAUGUACUUUAUGAAUAAGGAUCGGCUAACUCCGUGCCAGCAGCCGCGGUAAUACGGAGGAUCCGAGCGUUAUCCGGAUUUAUUGGGUUUAAAGGGAGCGUAGAUGGAUGUUUAAGUCAGUUGUGAAAGUUUGCGGCUCAACCGUAAAAUUGCAGUUGAUACUGGAUAUCUUGAGUGCAAUUGGAAGCCAGGCGGAAUUCGUGGUGUAGCGGUGAAAUGCUUAGAUAUCACGAA